AAUAGUUUUAUGCCACAUCAGUAUUUUUAUUCUGAAUUUCAGGAUUUCACCCUGAAAAAAAUCAAAUCCGAAUUAAAAUACUAAAAUUCAGGAUAAAAUCUUGAAAUUCAAGAUAAGAAUACUGAUGUGGCAUAAAACUAUU
rnacentral:pre_miRNA from 1 species